UCCCUCUUGCUGCCCUCAUUGCAGAAAAAGAGUUUCUUUUGAAGAAUACAUCAGUUGUUGCAGUCCCUGUAAGAAUUUGAUAACCUUUAACUGUUUUGUGGAUUUAUCUGCGCGUUUGUAACGUACUUUUUGAUUCAUAUACGUAAGGUUUUGCUAGACAGUUUCAGUGGAUGAGUUUUGUGCUAUCUUUACUGUAAUACUUAUCAAUUGAGGUUACAAAUAUCUUUUGAGUAGCCUAUUGAAGUUAAUUUCGAUUUAUAGUCACUAGUCUUUGGUUUUGUAUUAAUUCUGGUGACUUAUACUACUUUUAUAUAGUUUGUAAUUUUGUAAAUUAUUUUUCAAAAACCUGCCCUAAUGCACGGUCAAUAAAAUGAAGAAGUUUGACUCUACAAAUCCAAACUAUGUCAUAUAAAUUAGGACAGAGUGAGUAAUUGGUUUUACAUAUGAAUAUCUGUCACUUGCUUCAUUGAAUAAUCUAGGGCUUCUUAGCUUAAUGAGGAUGUUGUUUUAACAUUGUCCUGGUUGGUACAUACAUGGAUCCUGUGUUAUAUUUAGCUUUUUUUAUCUGGUUAUAAUGUGUAGUUCUCAGAAGAUUAUAGGUUUCUUUAGUAUUGAAAUGAAAAAUAUAUUAUAAAAGAAGUACAUUUUCUCCCGGUGAGUGUUUUCUGGAAACACUAAAUUUAUUUUUUGACAGUAUAAGGCUGCUGCCUUUUCUUUUUGGUUAAAAAGUAACUUAUAAGCAUUUGUUUGAGCAUGCUAUUGAAUCUUAGUUUACUAUGGCCAAGCAUUGCAGUGUAAAAACCCAUGGUUUCUGUAGGUCUGCAUGCUUUAGUUUCGAGAAAUCAUAAAGGUUGUGAUUUGACGGAGCAACCAACUGCUUGGGAGAACCAAACGAAUAAUCAGUGGGUAAGAAAAAGAACAAUGGGCCGAAAGACAUCGAAAAAGCAUGCUGGAGUUAACGCUGACCAUACUGUUGAAAGUGUCUCCGGAGGGAAUGCCGAUGACAAUAAUAGAUCUCAC
rnacentral:lncRNA from 1 species